UACGUAGGGGGGCAAGCGUUGUCCGGAUUUACUGGGCGUAAAGAGCGUGUAGGCGGCCACGCAGGUCCGUUGUGAAAACUGGAGGCUCAACCUCCAGCUGUCGACGGAAACCGUAUGGCUAGAGUCCGGAAGAGGAGAGUGGAAUUCCUGGUGUAGCGGUGAAAUGCGCAGAUAUCAGGAAGAACACCAAUGGCGAAGGCAGCUCUCUGGGACGGUACUGACGCUGAGACGCGAAAAGCGUGGGGAGCGAACAGG
rnacentral:rRNA from 1 species